rnacentral:rRNA from 1 species
GACGAACGCUGGCGGCGUGCUUAACACAUGCAAGUCGAACGAUGAAGCCGGAGCUUGCUCUGGUGAAUUAGUGGCGAACGGGUGAGUAACACGUGAGUAACCUGCCCUUGACUCUGGGAUAACUGCUAGAAAUGGUAGCUAAUACCGGAUACGACCCUCGGCGGCAUCGCCAGGGGGUGGAAAGAAUUUCGGUCAAGGAUGGACUCGCGGCCUAUCAGCUAGUUGGUGAGGUAACGGCUCACCAAGGCGACGACGGGUAGCCGGCCUGAGAGGGGGACCGGCCACACUGGGACGGAGACAUGGCCCAGACUCCUACGGGAGGCAGCAGUGGGGAAUAUUGCACAAUGGGCGCAAGCCUGAUGCAGCAACGCCGCGUGAGGGAUGACGGCCUUCGGGUUGUAAACCUCUUUUAGUAGGGAAGAAGCGAAAGUGACGGUACCUGCAGAAAAAGCACCGGCUACUACGUGCCAGCCGCCGCGGUAA